rnacentral:rRNA from 1 species
CCCUUACCCGCUGAACUUAAGCAUAUCAAUAAGCGGAGGAAAAGAAACUAACAAGGAUUCCCCUAGUAACGGCGAGUGAAGCGGGAAGAGCUCAAAUUUGAAAUCUGUCUGGUAUCCAGGCCGAAUUGUAGUUUAUAAAAGUGUUUUCGGGGGCAGUCUAGGAUCAAGUCCUUUGGGAUAAGGCAGCAUAGAGGGUGAGACUCCCGUUGCUUCUAGACUUGCUUCUAUGUGAUACACCUUUGACGAGUCGGGUUGUUUGGGAAUGCAGCCCAAAAUGGGUGGUAAAUACCAUCUAAAGCUAAAUACUGGCGAGAGACCGAUAGCGAACAAGUACCGUGAGGGAAAGAUGAAAAGAACUUUGAAAAGAGAGUUAAAAGUACGUGAAAUUGUCAAAAGGGAAACACUUGAAACCAGUCUUGCUGGCGGGAUCCCAACCGGGCCUACGCCUGGUAUAUGCUUCUGCCAGCAGGUCAGCAUCGGUUCGUGCUAGUGUAGAAAGCUAGAGGAAGGUAGCGUAUUUAUACGUAUUAUAGCCUCUGGUGCUGCUCUGGCGUGGACCGAGGAAUGCAGUCUAGUCUUGGGGAACCUGCCGCCGGGUGAUGCAUGGUUUUGGACAACUUGUUGAUCAUGACUAUGAUAAGCUUGCACGGUGGGUGUACCACAUCUACACUUAGGAUGCUGACAUAAUGGUUUUAAAUGACCCGUCUUGAAACACGGACCAAGGAGUCUAACACAUAUGCGAGUUUUUGGGUGCUAAACCCGGGAAGCGUAAUGAAAGUAUUAAGGUGGGACCCCGUAAGGGUGCACCAUCGACCGGUCUUGAAGUUUACGGAUAGAUCUGAGUAGGAGCAUAUUUGUUAGGACCCGAAAGAUGGUGAACUAUGCGUGAGUAGGGUGAAGCCAGAGGAAACUCUGGUGGAGGCUCGUAGGGAUUCUGACGUGCAAAUCGAUCUUAAAACUUGCGUAUAGGGGCGAAAGACUAAUCGAACUAUCUAAUGGCUGGUUCCCUCCGAAGUUUCCCUCAGGAAAGGG